rnacentral:lncRNA from 1 species
AUUUCCUUGACCUUCAGCUUUUAAAAAUCCCCACUUUUGAAGUCUCAUCCCCAAUAAAUUCAUCGCCACCACGCCAUUCUCGAUCAUUUUUAUUCCAAUCAGAUUCAAAACUCCAUUCUCAGUCACUCUCUUGACAAGGCUUUGACGAGCCAUUGAGUUGCGCCGUGACUUCCUCUCAACAAACAUCCAUGGCCCAAAAGAUUCUGUCAGCUCCACCACCUUAUCUUUUUUCGAUGAGUCACUCACCGUCAACUUCGUACCCACAUCAGUAUUCUUUGUUGGCCUAAUGCCAAGGCACAGGUCUUUCAUGUGACCAAACCGACCACAUGAAAAGUAAACAAACGGUAAUGAUUCAAACUCAACCCUUUGCACCACUCUGUUAACUAGGAUCUAAGAGACUAGAGGUUUUCCCAGAUCGAUAUACACUGCCAUCCUGGAAAAUUUCCCCCUUGAACGCUUGUUUGUUGUAAAUCAAGCUUGUUAUAGUACCGACUAAGCCCUCGAUUUCAUCCAAGAUUUGACGUUUGUAGAGAAGUCCCAGCAAACCAAGAAACCGAACCCAAACCAUGGUGUAGUUGGGGAAAGCCUGAAGGGGGUUAAACUUCAAAGUCCACGGUUGCACUGUGAGAUACUGACCAAGCACAAUCCACAACCUUUGGGUAAGCACCUUCUCGUAAACCUCUCGACUUUGAAAUUUUACCAGAAAAUAUCCAUUUUCCACAUCCAUGAGAUGGAACUGGUGGGAGGGUUUCCAAAAGGUAUGGAUCAUAUUCUGCAAGAAUGUAUGCAAUAAGUUUCAACCCGGUAAUUUUACCACCACUGUGGCCGCCAUUUCUCUAACCAGAAUUUGUUAAACCCUCUUAGAGAAACUAAUUACAGGUAUUCCAUUAACCAUAGUCCUCACGAAAUCUCCUUCUAUAAACUCAAAAUCCUUAUCAUUACUAGAUCCAAAAACCCCUUGACCCAAAACUUUGUCCAUCCAAGACGUAUCCAACGCUAGAAAUGAGUCCAUAGCGAUAGCACUAUCCGUAUCUGAGUCCAAAUCCUUAAAACAAGCCUUUUUAGUCUGUCAAUCCCCGAUCGAACUUUCGUCAUCACCGUCCUCAGCCGUAAAAAGUCUUGUCUUGUUUAUUGUUAAUUUGUAAACUAUUUAAGUUAAAACUUAUAAGUUUCAUUUUGUGAUAUUUAUUGGUGACAACUAUAAUGAUAACUUUUAAAAUGAGAACCAAAAUGAUCUUAGUCAUUAGAUUAAAAUAAAUGGUUCUAAGCCUUAAAUUUUGUAUUUAUCUCAUCUUACUAAAAUAAAACUAGCAACAUCCUAUCUUUCUUUUUUCUUUCCAGUGUGUAAUUGAAGUCUUUGGGUGAAAAAGGUUUGGAUAAUCUUUACUUUCAAAUUUAAUCUUCUUUUUUUUUUUUUGAAAAAAAUUGCAAUAGAAAGUAAGAGUUUAGGGUUAUUAAGAUUAAUCAAAUUGUGUAUUAGGUAUUUUUUUUAUUGAAAAAAUUGGUUAACCAUUUCAUUCUAAAAAAAUUGGGAUUUUUACAUUGGUUGACUCACUUUUUGCCCAAUCAAUGUAAAAAUCCCAAUUUUUUUAAAAAAUGAAAUGAUCAACCAAUUUUUUCAAUAAAAAAAUAAAUACCUAAUACAAAAAUUGAUUAAUCUUAAUAACCCUAAUUUUUCUUUUCAAUUCCAAUUCUUUUUUCAAAAAUUAAAUCUGAAAGUAAAGAUUAUCCAAAAAAAAAUUGAAUGUUAUUGGUUCUAUUUUAAUAAGGUAAGCUAAAUACAAAUUUUUUGGCUUAAAACCAUUUAUUUUGAUUUAAUGACUAAGAUAAUUUUAGUUCUCAUUGUUACCAUUUUAAAAGUUUUCACUAUAAUUGUCAUCAUAGUUAUUGCUUUGUAAAACAAUUGAUAGAUAACACUCACUUAAUCAAACUCUUAAUAUAUAAGUAUAAAUGAUAAUUUCUAUUAUCUUUUCAGUUUUGUAUUUAUAUAAUGGAUAGUGUUGGAAUAAAUUGAGAGAAAAACCAAAGGAAUUUUCAAAAAGAAAAAAAAAAAAGAAUUCUUGAAAUUUCAAAAGGAAAUUUGAAGCGUUCAAAUCUUUUGGAAAUGAUAUUAUUGCUAAUAUGUGUCUUUGUUUCAUGUUUAUCUUAUUUUUGGUAUUGUAUCGUUUUUUAAUAUCAUUUUUAUGUAUAAAUUUUACUAGAAUAUACCCAAACGUCAACAUGAUAUUCUAGGAUAAGGAUUUUAUUGCAAGAUGAAAACACCUGUAAUUCUUGAACAAAAAAGAAAAUUAAAUAGCAAAUAAUUAAUUGCAUUAAACAGCUAGUUUUGAAGGGAAGCAUAUACUAUAAUAUUUACCAACUUUCUCCCAAUGCUUAUGUCUAUCAACAUUAAUUCCCCCCCCCCCCCCCCCUCCUUGCAUAUGCAUCGUGUAAUGAAGCUAAAUGUAGCAAGCUAAUCCACCUAUGAAUGAGCUUGAGAAACUUCACCUUUCUCUCCAAGUUGGGUCUCUGCUUCCAAAAUCCGGGCAGUUCCUUCCAUCUUCAAUCCCUCCAUGUUUAUUUCAGGGAUAAUCGGAGGCUUCAUUCUUCGUGUAACUGUCAUCUUCAGCCCCUGCGUUGUGUGGAUAGUUGCUCCAGUAGUCAUUUCAACCUGAAUACAGAUUUCAUUGAUCUUUUAUACGGUAUAUCCACUUUUCUUUUUGAAUUACUACACGUUUAUAAGACACCAUUCGUACUCAAAGCACAUACGAAUAAUAAUAAAACUCUCAAACAAAUCAUAGCUUGGCUAGGUACUGGUAUUUCAGCUUCAAAAAUAGCUGAGAAUCUCUUUGUACUUAUGUCCGAUACAUAGCUUAUGCAUGGGGUAUAUGUAGUUUGACAUGCAGAUAGUCAACAAUUCUUAUUCUAUUAAGCCGAUAUCGGAAAGUGAACUUACAAGAGAGUUUCAGGUUUUUGGGGUUUUUAGUCCACUAGAAGUUUGAGAGCCAGCUACACUUUAUGUCAUUUACAAGUAAAAGUUGUAAACAUGAACAACA